UGGGGAAUUUUGGACAAUGGGGGAAACCCUGAUCCAGCCAUCCCGCGUGUGCGAUGAAGGCCUUCGGGUUGUAAAGCACUUUUAGCAGGAAAGAAACGUCAUGGGUUAAUACCCCGUGAAACUGACGGUACCUGCAGAAUAAGCACCGGCUAACUACGUGCCCGCAGCCGCGGUAAUACGUAGGGUGCAAGCGUUAAUCGGAAUUACUGGGCGUAAAGCGUGCGCAGGCGGUUCGGAAAGAAAGAUGUGAAAUCCCAGAGCUCAACUUUGGAACUGCAUUUUUAACUACCGGGCUAGAGUGUGUCAGAGGGAGGUGGAAUUCCGCGUGUAGCAGUGAAAUGCGUAGAUAUGCGGUGGAACACCGAUGGCGAAGGCAGCCUCCUGUGAUAACACUGACGCUCAUGCACGAAAGCGUGGGGAGCAAACAGG
rnacentral:rRNA from 1 species